UCCGGAGUAGCUCAGUGGUAGAGCGAGCGACUGUUAAUCGCUUGGUCGUCGGUUCGAGCCCGACCUCCGGAGCCA
rnacentral:tRNA from 1 species